CAGUCGCCGCGGUAACACAGAGGGUGCAAGCGUUAAUCGGAAUUACUGGGCGUAAAGCGCGCGUAGGUGGUUUGUUAAGUUGGAUGUGAAAUCCCCGGGCUCAACCUGGGAACUGCAUCCAAAACUGGCAAGCUAGAGUAUGGUAGAGGGUGGUGGAAUUUCCUGUGUAGCGGUGAAAUGCGUAGAUAUAGGAAGGAACACCAGUGGCGAAGGCGACCACCUGGACUGAUACUGACACUGAGGUGCGAAAGCGUGGGGAGCAAACAGGAUUAGAGACCCGCGUAGUCCCUGUCUCUUAUAC
rnacentral:rRNA from 1 species